GCCUAACGGCUGAACUGGCAACUUGGAGAAGUGGCAAGUCUUCCAGUAUGGGGAGCAAAACAGCUAUGGGUCAAGUCCGAUAUCUUUAGGAGAAGUCUUAUUGUGAGGGCGAGUUAUAUAACACCAUAGGACUGGCCGUCCCAUAUGAAAAGAUUAUAUUAGAAUUGAAUGAAGCUUUGUUUAUAUAUUGAUAAUGACAGUAUAUAUAUCGUGUCUUGACUAAUUGCGUGCCAGCAGUCGCGGUAAUACGUAAGAGACUAGUGUUAUUCAUCUUAAUUAGGUUUAAAGGGUACCCAGACGGUCAAUAUAGCUUAUAAAAUGUUAGUACUUGACUAGAGUUUUAUGUAAGAGGGCAGUACUUGAGGAGGAGAGAUGAAAUUUCGUGAUACCAAAGGGACUCUGUAAAGGCGAAGGCAGCCCUCUAUGUAAAAACUGACGUUGAAGGACGAAGGCACAGAGAACAAACAGGAUUAGAUACCCAAGUAGUCUUUGCAGUAAAUGAUGAAUGCCAUAGGUCAGAUAACCAGUUAAUGUUUAUAGUCUAAUAGGUUAGCCUAGCAAACUAAUGACAUAGACUAUCCAUUAAAAAUAUUUGGUCUAUAAAUGAAAGUGUAAGCAUUUCACCUCAAGAGUAAUGUGGCAACGCAGGAACUGAAAUCACUAGACCGUUUCUGACACC
rnacentral:rRNA from 1 species